rnacentral:rRNA from 1 species
GAAACUCAAAGGAAUUGACGGGGAGCACCACAACAGGUGGAGCCUGCGGUUUAAUCGGACUCAACGCCGGGAAACUCACCAGAUAAGACAGCUGAAUGAUAGUCGGGCUGAAGACUCUACUUGACUAGCUGAGAGGAGGUGCAUGGCCGUCGUCAGUUCGUACUGUGAAGCAUCCUGUUAAGUCAGGCAACGAGCGAGACCCACGCCAACAGUUGCCAGCGUACUCUCUGGAGUGACGGGUACACUGUGGGGACCGCCGCUGCUAAAGCGGAGGAAGGAAUGGGCAACGGUAGGUCAGUAUGCCCCGAAUAUCCCGGGCUACACGCGAGCUACAAUGGUUGGUACAAUGGGUAUCUACCCCGAAAGGGGACGGGAAUCUCCUAAAACCAAUCUUAGUUCGGAUUGAGGGCUGCAACUCGCCCUCAUGAAGCUGGAAUCCGUAGUAAUCGCGUUUCAACAGAACGCGGUGAAUACGUCCCUGCUCCUU